rnacentral:rRNA from 1 species
UACAGAGGGGGCAAGCGUUGUUCGGAAUUACUGGGCGUAAAGGGCGCGUAGGCGGCCCGCUAAGUCGAACGUGAAAUCCCUGGGCUCAACCCAGAAACUGCGUCCGAUACUGGCAGGCUUGAAUCCGGGAGAGGGAUGCGGAAUUCCAGGUGUAGCGGUGAAAUGCGUAGAUAUCUGGAGGAACACCGGUGGCGAAGGCGGCAUCCUGGACCGGCAUUGACGCUGAGGCGCGAAAGCCAGGGGAGCAAACGGG